AUGUCUCCAUUACUCCACAUCAGAUACUGGGUUUUGGUUUGGAGGCUUCAAUUUCCCUGUGCCCAUCAGAUGGACAGAGAUUCACAUACCUCUAACCAAGAACCUCCUGCACUUUCUCUUUCAGAGGGUAAAUACAUAUGCCAUUCUUACUGCCAAGACCUGGUACAUCUGGAUUAUCCACAAAAUGGGAAAUUACCAAGCGGUAUGCCCAUUUGUGAAGUAAGACACUCAAGCCAAAACAACCCUCAGGCUCUAAUCAUGCUCCAGUGUUGCUGUACAGCUCUUGCCCAGAAAUACUGCUGUCCAACUAAAACCAUAUAUUCAGGCAGCUGAUUGAAGCCAGAGACCCUGACCUUGAGCUGCGUUGCUGUGCAGUAAUCUGAGCCAUCUGCGCUCAGCAACAAUUAAAACCUUCAGAUCUCUUGGGCGUUUCCUUCCUCUGAUGAUAACUUAGGGGCUGCAGCACAACUCGGAGGGAAACAGCGCAGUCUUUGGUGCCAGCUUGAUUCCUGCGGGGCAGUUCUAAACAGAGAAAUCCCUGCUUGAUGUACUAGUUCUUUCCUCAGCUGAAAUGCAGGUUCUUAACAUCUAACAAACCCUGAACAUUUAAUUAUUCUGAUUGCCUCUUUUGCCCAGAGGGGCAGAGGAACCUUCUGUUUAUGGAGCCAGAGUCAGACAAAAUUAUGAGGUAAAGUUGGUUGUGAACAGCUCAUGUCUCCUCUGUAGUCCAAAUCUCUUUUUCGGCCUUUCCUGCCAGCUUUCCAUCCCCUCAGAGGUCUUGCUGCCUUCUGCUAAUGAGAUCCAACAACAACAACAACAAUAAAACCCCAAAGCAAGUUAUUACUUCACUCCUUACCUCCUUUCUUUCCCUUCAAAAUGCUUGAAUCCUUAUGAUUGUGACCUUUCCUAUCAAUUCCGGGGGAAAUGCACACAAUAAAUACAUUUAACCAAAGUGGCCAAGAAAGUCAUACUGUCACUCUUGGGAGACGGAGGUGAGAAGUUAUAAGAAAAAAAAUCCUUCAGGAAAAGAAUUUGAAAAGGAAUAGAUAUAGGUAUAUGUAUAACUGAAUCAUUUUGAUGUAUACCUGAAACUAACACAUUAUAAAUCAACCACAGUCCAAUAUAAAAUAAACGUUAGAAAGAAAGAAAAGUCCUUCCAGAGAAUUGAUUUCUUUUUUUAAAUUUAAUUUUAUUUUUAACUGGAAGAU
rnacentral:lncRNA from 1 species